AGUGAACGCUGGCGGUAGGCCUAACACAUGCAAGUCGAACGGCAGCACAGUAAGAGCUUGCUCUUACGGGUGUCGAGUGGCGGACGGGUGAGGAAUACAUCGGAAUCUACUUUUUCGUGGGGGAUAACGUCGGGAAACUUACGCUAAUACCGCAUACAACCUACGGGUGAAAGCAGGGGAUCUUUGGACCUUGCGCGAUUGUAUGAGCCGAUGUCGGAUUAGCUAGUUGGCGGGGUAAAGGCCCACCAAGGCGACGAUCCGUAGCUGGUCUGAGAGGAUCAACAGACAGAUGGGCACUGAGACACGUCACAGACUCUGACGCGAGGCAGCGGUGGGGAAUAUUGGAGGAGGGGGGAAUGCGGGAUACAGGCAUACCGCGGGGGUGAAGAAGGCGUUCGGGUUGGAGAGCGCUGAAGUUGGGAAGGAAAAACAGCAGGUUAAUACCCCGCGGUACUGACGGUACCGAAAGAAUAAGCACCGGCUAACUUCGUG
rnacentral:rRNA from 1 species